rnacentral:tRNA from 1 species
GGGUAUGUAGCUCAAGUGGUAGAGUGCAUGCUUAGCAUGUGUGAGGUCCUGGGUUCAAUCCCCAGUACCUCUU